rnacentral:misc_RNA from 1 species
GAAAAAAGGGAAACCGCUCUCUACAUUUAGAUUCAAGCUUUUGAUUGCUCAUGUGCUGAAGUUAGGCUGCUUAGCCCCGUCGAAACCCUAGAUUUUCAGUUCUCUNNNNNNAUCGUAAAUCCACGAAAUGGCCUUCUGGUGGCCAAUAAUUGUUCUUGUUUUUGCCUACGCGAUCUGUCGGUUCUUGUUGAUGCUCAUCCCUCCCAAUGUGCCUUCAAUUGACGUCGACGCCUCCGAUGUGUUGGAUAGGAAUCAAUCACAGGACAACAGCUUCAUAUAUAUACCUCCUAGAGGAAGGACACAGCAACAAGACAAAAAAGUCCAGUGCUAUGAGCCUGCAACUAUGAAGUACUUGGGAUUUUUCCCUGCCUUGUCACCUGUUGAGGUCAAGGAGCACGUGGCAGAGGCAAGGAAGGCUCAGAAAUUAUGGGCCAAGAGCAGCUUCAAGCAAAGACGCCAGUUUUUGCGGAUACUUCUGAAAUAUAUUAUUGAACACCAAGAGCUUAUAUGCGAAGUAUCUUCGCGCGAUACUGGAAAAACAAUGGUAGAUGCCUCUUUAGGAGAAAUAAUGACUACAUGUGAGAAGAUCACUUGGCUUCUCUCAGAGGGUGAGCGGUGGCUAAAGCCUGAAUAUCGAUCUUCCGGGAGAUCAAUGCUUCACAAGAAAUCCAAGGUGGAGUUUCAUCCUCUUGGUGUUAUUGGUGCCAUUGUGUCAUGGAACUAUCCUUUUCAUAAUAUUUUUAAUCCAAUGC